UUGAUGAAGAUCUACAUUACCCACAAAACCCGAAAGUGUGGUUGCAGAAAAGCUUAUCAGUCAAACAAGCUAUCAAGGCAGUGUGAUUAACGUCAAGAAAUCAGUAAAUACAAACAGAUAUGUACUCAAAACAAUGCAGUAUAUGUUAAACAUCUUUUGUAAUGCUUCAUUGUCAAUGUCAUCUACAGAGUCAUAUUAGCAUCAAAAAUAAUUUGUACAUCUUCACCUGGAAUUUUAAGUCAACUAUUCCUUAAACGUAACGGUCAACAUAUAACAUGCAGCGUUCAGUUAUGCCUUGUCUGAAGCAAAUCUACAAAAUUUGCUUAUAAAAGAAUGCCUCGCAUUAUGAUUUGUGACACAGAAGCGGGACAGAAACUAAUAACCACGUAGAUACUGCAGGAGAAGUAGGAUUGGAGAGGAUGACUCUUGGAUGAAAUGACGAGAUACCAACUACCUCUGCAAGCCAAACUACCUCAAAUUCACCAGACCCAGGUUUAUUUACUACAUAAAACAUCAAUGUUAUCAACAAAUUUAUCAUUUAGUCAAGAAAACUUAAAUACCUACGUUUUUAGCUUAAGACAAUCUACAUUACUUAAAACUGUAGAGAAAAAUAUAAAAUGCAAACAAGGCUUGUAAAAUUUGAGUUCUUACCAAAAAUUAUCCUGCAUUUGAACCGGACGAAUGCGGUGAAUAAAAAAAAAUUGAUGAGAGAAAUGUUUCCAUGGGAUUACUUACUGCAUUUUAUUCUUUCUCUUGGAAACUCCCACUCAUGUAAAAAUGUAAGCUUUUGUAUUUGUCCGUGUAUGCUUCCAUUCAUAUCAAUCUUUCCAAUGUAGUAAGGCAAUGGAGGAUAAAAAGAAGAUAAAAACCACCGUGAAUAUUUUUCCUUUUGUAAAAUACAUAAGAUGUGAUCGCCAAAAUGAAGAGUGUGAUGACGCCAGUAGAUAUGACAAAUAUCGAUAUUAUCUUUGUCGACUGUUGUAUAUUGGCAAUGUUUACUACAUAAAUAGAAAAAAUACUUUAUGGCU